AGUGAACGCUGGCGGUAGGCCUAACACAUGCAAGUCGAACGGCAGCACAGGAGAGCUUGCUCUCUGGGUGGCGAGUGGCGGACGGGUGAGGAAUACAUCGGAAUCUACUCUGUCGUGGGGGAUAACGUAGGGAAACUUACGCUAAUACCGCAUACGACCUACGGGUGAAAGCAGGGGACCUUCGGGCCUUGCGCGAUUGAAUGAGCCGAUGUCGGAUUAGCUAGUUGGCGGGGUAAAGGCCCACCAAGGCGACGAUCCGUAGCUGGUCUGAGAGGAUGAUAAGCCACACCGGAGCUGGGACACGGUCCAGACUCCUACGGGAGGCAGCAGUGGGGAACAUUGGACAAUGGGCGCAAGCCUGAUCCAGCCAUACCGCGUGGGUGAAGAAGGCCUUCGGGUUGUAAAGCCCUUUUGUUGGGAAAGAAAUCCAGCUGGCUAAUACCCGGUUGGGAUGACGGUACCCAAAGAAUAAGCACCGGCUAACUUCGUGCCAGCCGCCGCCGUAA
rnacentral:rRNA from 1 species